rnacentral:rRNA from 1 species
AGUCACUGACAUUAGAUACCCGUGUAGUCCAGGGUGUAAACGCUGCAGACUUGGUGUUGGGAACCCUUCGGGGGUGCUCAGUGCCGGAGAGAAGUUGUUAAGUCUGCUACUUGGGGAGUACGUCCGCAAGGAUGAAACUUAAGGAAUUGGCGGGGAGCACCGCAACGGAGGAGCGUGCGGUUUAAUUGGAUUCAACGCCGAAAACUCACCAGCAGCGACUGUUACAUGAAAGUCAGGUUGAUGACCUUACUAGAUUUUCAG